GAUGAACGCUAGCGGGAGGCCUAACACAUGCAAGCCGAGCGGUAUUGUUUCUUCGGCAAUGAGAGAGCGGCGUACGCGUGCGUAACACGUGUGCAACCUGCCUUUAUCUGGGGGACAGCCUUUCGAAAGGGAGAUCUAUACUCCCUAAUAUAUUGAACGGCAUCGUUUAAUAUUGAAAGCUCCGGCGGAUAGAGAUGGGCAGACGCCGGAUUAGCUAGUUGGUGAGGUAACGGCCCACCAAGGCGACGAUCUGUAGGUGGCGUGAGAGGAUGAUCAGUCACCCUGGAAUGGAGACACGGUCCAGACGCCUACGGGAGGGAGCAGUGGGGAAUGGUAGACUAUGGGAGGGAGCCUGGUCCAGCCAAGCCGCGUGUGUGAAGAAGGUCUUCCGAUUGGGAAGCAAUUUUAGUUGGGAGGAAGGACAAUAAGUUAAUACCGUGCUGUGUUGACGGUACCAAAAGAAUAAGCACCGGCUAACUUCGUG
rnacentral:rRNA from 1 species